rnacentral:Y_RNA from 1 species
GGAUAGUCCGAGUGCAGCGGUGUUUACAACUAAUGGAUCACAACCAGUUACAGAUUCCUUUGUCCCUUUCUCCACUCCCACCCACUGCUUCACUUGACCAGCCUUAA